rnacentral:rRNA from 1 species
GACGAACGCUGGCGGCGUGCUUAACACAUGCAAGUCGAACGGAAAGGCCCUGCUUGCAGGGUACUCGAGUGGCGAACGGGUGAGUAACACGUGGGUGAUCUGCCCUGCACUUCGGGAUAAGCUUGGGAAAUUGGGUCUAAUACCGGAUAGGAGCCAUCUUUAGUGUGGUGGUUGGAAAGUUUUUUCGGUGUAGGAUGAGCUCGCGGCCUAUCAGCUUGUUGGUGGGGUAAUGGCCUACCAAGGCGGCGACGGGUAGCCGGCCUGAGAGGGUGUACGGCCACAUUGGGACUGAGAUACGGCCCAGACUCCUACGGGAGGCAGCAGUGGGGAAUAUUGCACAAUGGGCGCAAGCCUGAUGCAGCGACGCCGCGUGGGGGAUGAAGGCCUUCGGGUUGUAAACUCCUUUCGCUAGGGACGAAGCUUUGUUGUGACGGUACCUAGAUAAGAAGCACCGGCUAACUACGUG